AAGGCCUUAAGUUAAUUAAACUAAUAGCCUUCAAAGCUGAAAUUAAAAGCAAUUUUAGGUCUUA
rnacentral:tRNA from 1 species